rnacentral:lncRNA from 1 species
AGGUUGAAGUAAGGUUCAGUCCGUCGUCGAGAGUGCCUGUGGUGUGGAGCCGUCAUCGCCAGCUGAAGCUAAAGAUUAGAUGAUCUAGUCUUAUUUUUCUUUUUCCGUUGCAUUUCGAUAGAUAAUUGUUUUUAUUUGUUUUUAAGUCGUGGAACUGUGUAUUAAUUUGUCAUAGUGUGUACUCGGGCUGAUUCUUGGACCGAGAUUAAUGCAUGCUAUUGUUCAGAAAUUGGUGUAAAUUUCUGGGCGUGGCAAUACUCUUUAUUGAGGAGCUCACAAAGAGUCAGGUCAUUUCCACAAAUUCCUGUAUCAAUUUGUUCUUUUAUCAUAAUGUAGGUGAAAUUAUAUCUUUUUCCAUAUUUCUUCUUUCCUUCCUAUGCUCUUGUUCAAUAACAAUGGCUUUAAAGGAAAAAUUGUAAGG